AUCUACGGCCAUACCACCCUGAACAUACCUGAUCUCAUCUGAUCUCAGAAGCUAAGCAGGGUUGGGUCUGAUUAGUACUUGGAUGGGAGAAAAACAACUUAGCAACUUUACUUU
rnacentral:rRNA from 1 species